CACGCCGUAAACGUUGAGAACUAAGUGUUGGGGAGACCCAGUGCUGAAGCUAACGCAUUAAGUAAUCCACCUGGGGAGUACGGCCGCAAGGUUAAAACUCAAAGGAAUUGACGGGGGCCCGCACAAGCAGUGGAGUAUGUGGUUUAAUUCGAGGCAACGCGAAGAACCUUACCAGGGCUUGACAUCCUCUGACAACCCUAGAGAUAGGGCUUUUCUACGGAACAGAGUGACAGGUGG
rnacentral:rRNA from 1 species